CUGACGGCCGCGUCCGGGUCAAUUGCGAACUGCAACACCCAACCGCCCUCCGUGCGCCUCCGUCGAUGGAGGUGCGGGAGGGGCAACGCGUCGCCAUCAG
ncrna:unclassified sequences L4-Archaeoglobi ribosomal protein leader